rnacentral:snoRNA from 1 species
GUGAUGAAGACGGGAUUUUUAGAACGGUGACAGGCAGAACCCAGCUGA